GUAACGGCUCACCAAGGCAACGACGGGUAGCUGGUCUGAGAGGAUGGCCAGCCACAUUGGGACUGAGAUACGGCCCAGACUCCUACGGGAGGCAGCAGUGGGGAAUCUUGCGCAAUGGCCUAACGGCUGACGCAGCGACGCCGCGUGUGGGAUGAAGCUCCUCGGAGUGUAAACCACUGUUGCCCGGGACGAAUAGCUCGAUUAAUCGAGCCUGACGGUACCGGGUGAGGAAGCACCGGCUAACUCCGUGCCAGCAGCCGCGGUAAUACGGGGGGUGCGAGCGUUGUCCGGAAUCACUGGGCGUAAAGGGCGCGUAGGUGGUUUGAUAAGGGUGUGGUGAAAGUCCGGGGCUCAACCCCGGAUCUGCCGUGCCGACUGUCAAACUCGAGGACUGUAGAGGCAGACGGAAUUCCGGGUGUAGCGGUGGAAUGCGUAGAGAUCCGGAGGAAGACCGGUGGCGAAGGCGGUCUGCUGGGCAGUUUCUGACACUGAGGCGCGACAGCGUGGGGAGCAAACAGGAUUAGAUACCCUGGUAGUCCACGCCGUAAACGAUGGGUACUAGGUGCCUGGGGGAGCGACCCUCUGGGUGCCGGCGCUAACGCAGGAAGUACCCCGCCUGGGGAGUACGG
rnacentral:rRNA from 1 species